UAAACUUUAUUCAUAGUAAAAAAUAUUUACAAGAAUAAAUAAGCCGAGCAAAGCAUUUCCAUUAUUCAAUUUUAAACCUUUAAAUACAGUUCUUACAACCAAUAGCACUUGUUGCCGCAAAAAUCGCGACAUACCGCACGCUAGUGAUUUCGAUUCAGUGUUGUCACCCAUGUCGCCCUCCUGGAAGUACACUACUACGAUAAUUGAGGGGCUUCCUCAGCCAACCCGACCCCUUCCUCUCCCGUAGAACCCUUUCCUGUGGUGCUCCCGCACAGCUCUUGCGUUUGUUGUACCAAAUUUCAGCGCGUCCUUCAGCAAGUACCCCUGCAGCUUGGAAAGAAGCAGUCGCCGGUCUCCGCGUGCCGACAGACCAGUGGGCGCCUUUCACCAAUUUUAUGAUCUUCUGGCAGCAUUUGAUACCUGUGUAUCUCUGGGAACAACCCGUAGAUGAAAGAGUCAUCUGCCAGGCAUCUGCUCAGGAUGAACCGCAAACCCGCAGCCCGCUAAGAGGUCUCGUCCCCAGUGUUCAGCCCGCGGUGGAAGGGACGUCCCGGGCAUACGGCAGGAAGGAUCUGACUGGGAGGGCCCCUCUCACCGCCAGCCUGUUGGUGAGAUCUGGCAACGGGGUCCUCGGAGAACCACCUCGCGGUAUCCACUGAGGCCUUCUCCUGCAGAACGUUCCGUGCUGACCCCUCCCUGAUGGGUCAAAGGUGAUGGUCUGCAAUUUGUUUUCUACGAAGGACAGGUAGUGAGACAACAUCAGGCUGACUAACGGGGCCAGAUAGAACCGUGCUCGGCACGUAGAAGCAUUUCGGUCCUCCGUUCUUCGGGCCCACACACAGCCUGAUGCAGGCACUCACGAGGGUAAUCAUCAGGUUGCGGGCGACACUGUGCAGUUGGCCUACUGAGAUGAGUGUUUUGAUGCUUGCCGAACACAGGGAAAAGCACAAUUCCCUUUGACACCGACUGUCCCAAAAUGCUCCGGAAGGAAAAGGGAUCAAUACGAUCUGUCAAAAUGCCUCAUUACUAGAACUGGUCUGAUGACACCAGGAUGUUUAGUCUGGAUAGUGAUGAGUAUGGUUCUUAUCACUGUCUUUGAACUUGCUUAGAAUCUUGAGACUGCAGUAAGGGCAACACUCUUAGCAAAGAAGGCAGAUUAUUCCUUGAUAAUUCAGAGUUCUGUGCCCUAUGGCCAUUCCCCAGGACAGAAGAGACAGAUAUCAACUGCAACUGCAAGACCAUUAACCUAGUGAGAAAGGCCGUGUGGUCUAUCCAAAACAUGCUGGCCUUCCAGUUGUCCAUGAUUCAGUGAUGCUGAAUGAUCGUCUCCAAAGUUAAAAUUUAUGUCCUAAGCAAAACGUAAGUGUGGAACAUCUGAAAAAGGACUCAUGAGGAAAGGUUAUACUGCAAGCAAGCCCAGAAUCCUUACGCCAAGUUUUAGAGGUUCCAAUCUAUGCUUUGUCUUUUCAAGAGUACACAUUAUGCAUAAUCAGAAAUAUAUUUAUUAAAACAAUUCUGACUGCAAUUUGUGCUUCUGAAUUAUUGUACAUUUACAUAGUUUAUGAAAAAAAUACUAAAUUUUGAGAAAGGGAUCAAAGGUCAAAACACAGGAGCGGGUCCAUUUUCACACAAUUAUACAAAGUAUAAUUAAAAAUUAACUUUUACCAAAGCAAUAUCUGCUUCCAAUAAAUUAAACAAAUGCCAUUUAAAUCAAAAGAUACAUUGAGGAUUUGAAGUUAAUAAUUCCAGCUUAGGGUCAAUAUCUGGUGGGUGGGAGACACCAUCUCUCAUUUGAUACCUUGAAAUGUGAGCAGUCAGUAAUAUACCCUACUAUUUUUGUCACCUAGUUCUUUCUGACAAUGGGGUAUAUCUGUUGGCAAUACACCCAUCUGGACUAUCCAUCACCCAAAGCACUACUCAGUACCCUUAAACCUCAAAUCCACUUAGCAAUGGGCCAAAACCAUCAGGACUUGGCUGCACACACAAAAUGCUGGUGGAACGCAGCAGGCCAGGCAGCAUCUACAGGGAGAAGCACUGUUGACGUUUCGGGCCGAGACCCUUUGUCAGGACUAACUGAAAGGAAAGAUAGUAAGAGAUUUGAAAGUAUUGGGGGGGAGGGGGAAAUGCAAAAUGAUAGGAGAAGACCGGAGGGGGUGGGGUGAAGCUGAGAGCUGGAAAGGUGAUUGGCAAAAGGGAUACAGAGCUGGAGAAGGGGGAGAAUGGGACGGAAGGCCUAGGGAGAAAGAAAGGUGGGUGGGAGCACCAGAGGGAGAUGGAGAACAGGACUUGGCUGAUCUGAGCAAACAGCCCCUCCAAUGCUUAUAGUCUCCCAUUCCACCCCUGCAAUCCCCUCCACAGCCAAGGUUCAUAGCAAAGGAUAACUUAUUACCCUAUGCCUUGAAGCUAACUGCUCCCUCACCACAGGUUUGACAGCCUCAACAUUUAAGCAAUUUGCUCCCUUCCAUUACUCAACGUGCAUAAAAAACACUGUAAAUCUCAAGUCAAAACAACACACAACGUAUGAAUUUAAACAAAUUGCUGUUUUUAUAUGGGAAAUGUGUAAUUAUGUUCCCUGUCCUCCACAAGCAAGGUUGUUUUGAUUCUUUGUACUUAUCGAAACCUGAUCACCCUAUAGACUUAACAACAUAGAACAAUCUGAUUUCAGAAUAUAGGGUGAAAGGGGCAGGCACUACCCCUUGCCUGUCUAAUCUCAACACCACCUGCAGGGUGGCAGAACUAAACCAGCUACAGUGCUGGUGAUUUAACGCCUUAAGAAUUGCCAGCAACUUAAUUAAGUUGUAAUGCAGAAGUUCUCUCCUGCUGUAGUCCCAUUCCUACUCAAUUUGCUGGAUAUUUCCAUCUUUGGCCUGUUACGCAACAGACCUUUCAAACACCAGACUGCCUGACAGGUGGGUGAAUGCUGUACAAAAGCAAAAUGCCAUGUACACUAACAUGGGUUUUGCAGUUCAGAAACCUGUAAUCAUGUUGGAAAACACAGGCAUUUUGUAUACAGCAAAGAUGUUGAUUUAUUUUUGUGAUGGGUUGAAUAUUACUCAGGACAGACACAAAGACGCACAAUGCUUGGAAUGGGUGAAGGAGCAGUGAAAGAGCAAAUGUUAUUCUCAGUUUAACAUCUUAACACACCUCCAACUAUUUUUGUUGGCCCCUCCGUUCUGACACUGAGCACCAGCUUAGUCCAACCAUGCAGAUAACAGUUCAACCUUUUUGGUACCAGAUAUUUCACCUGCCCUCACAUUCCCUAUUUCAAUUGGACGACAAUGGAAUGCAUACUCCUGGGAAUAAUUCAAUGUAGUUUUUUUUUGUUAAGUAUAGAAUUUCACAUGUAGCAUCUAAUCUCUAUCUUAGAUCAAGCGUAGAAAUCUUACAAUUACCAGUUGAGAGUUGAAUUAAUUGCUGCAGAAAUAUUAAAGUCUUCAAACUAGUUGAUGUAAGCUAUGGUACAGAAAUUAUCAUUCAUGUCUGGACUUCACUAGUCUAUUUGUACAUCGAUUGUGUACCAAUGUCAGCAGAAUCUCUUUCUCCAUGAGGCUGUUUGUGGUCUCAUACCUCAAUACUGUUCAAGAAGUCAAAUUGUGUUGGGUUCGGAAAGUCGACCUCAGACCAACAGCAGAAAUCCAGAGCUCUGCCCCAGAUAAUGACUAGUCUUAAAUCGCU